rnacentral:rRNA from 1 species
AGUGAACGCUGGCGGUAGGCCUAACACAUGCAAGUCGAACGGCAGCACAGUAAGAGCUUGCUCUUACGGGUGGCGAGUGGCGGACGGGUGAGGAAUACAUCGGAAUCUACUUUUUCGUGGGGGAUAACGUAGGGAAACUUACGCUAAUACCGCAUACGACCUACGGGUGAAAGCAGGGGAUCUUCGGACCUUGCGCGAUUGAAUGAGCCGAUGUCGGAUUAGCUAGUUGGCGGGGUAAAGGCCCACCAAGGCGACGAUCCGUAGCUGGUCUGAGAGGAUGAUCAGCCACACUGGAACUGAGACACGGUCCAGACUCCUACGGGAGGCAGCAGUGGGGAAUAUUGGACAAUGGGCGCAAGCCUGAUCCAGCCAUACCUCUUGGGUGAAGAAGGCCUUCGGGUUGUAAAGCCCUUUUGUUGGGAAAGAAAAGCAGCAGGUUAAUACCCCGCUGUUCUGACGGUACCCAAAGAAUAAGCACCGGCUAACUUCGUG